UGCAAAGCCUCGUCUCUCCCACUAGCAGCUUUGCGAACCUCUGGGUACAGGCAACUCAUUGCAAGCCUGGCCGCCACUACAGUCAUCAUUACCAUUGCUAAUACUCUUCAACUACUGAAUGCCAGAGUCCCGGCGGUUUUGCAUACAUAACGGGCGAGCGCCAGACACACCCGGCACGGGGUCCCGGCUAGGCAGACGGGAGCCGUGACGGAGAAGCGACGACUACCUUGAGACACCACCGGCCACCACCACCACUUCCAGCCGUUCAGGUUUUCUUCUGUUGGGGAACCAGAUGGCGGCACGGAACGGCGGAAAUUAGUAACAAGAUCUAGAGGGAAGUGACGUAACGAAGAUGGCUGCAUCGAAUGUAGAAGACUAAGUCAAGCAAGAAAAUGUCUUCUUUGACGAAAAUUUCAAAAUCUAGGCAACGAUUGCACAAGGAAAGGCAUCAGGUAAUAUAAUCUUAUUGUUUUUGAUUUAUUAUUAGUAUCAAUACUGAUUCUAAAUUGUUAAAAUCGUGUUGAAAAUGUUAAAGUUGACCACGUGUUAACGUUGAAUGGUUUUAAUCACAGGUAUUAUUUUCUCAUUUUGUAUGUAUAUAAUAAA